rnacentral:piRNA from 1 species
UGAUUACCUGUGGCUCUGGUACCAGC